CAAUAGCGUAUAUUAAAGUUGUUGCAGUUAAAAAGCUCGUAGUUGGAUUUGUGGUGGUUCCUGUGGUCCGAUUUCGGUACUCUCGGGGACUGCCAUCUUUGGGUGGAUCCUGUGUGGCAUUAGGUUGUCGUGCAGGGGAUGCCCAUCGUUUACUGUGAAAAAAUUAGAGUGUUCAAAGCAGGCUUAUGCCGUUGAAUAUAUUAGCAUGGAAUAAUGAGAUAGGACCUUGGUACUAUUUUGUUGGUUUGCGCACCGAGGUAAUGAUUAAUAGGGACAGUUGUGGGUAUUCGUAUUCCAUUGUCAGAGGUGAAAUUCUUGGAUUUCUGGAAGACGAACUAAUGCGAAAGCAUUUACCAAGGAUGUUUUCAUUA
rnacentral:rRNA from 1 species